CAUUCAAAAGCACAGCAUGCUGCUGCUCAUCUUCUUCCUUCAAAACUGACCUCCAAUCUCCGUUGCAACAAGCUGUAGAACCAGCUCUAAGAACAUGAAAACAGGAGUUCAAACUGCAGCUCAACGCCGUGAAAAUAGCGGCGUGUGUGUGCGAAUUUUCUGAUUCUCGCCGGACUUUGAGAUCCGACUAUUUUUUUAAAACUUUCCGGUGAGUUCCGAGUUUGUCCGGAUGAGGUUUUGUCCAAGGUUCAGUUAUUUGAGCUCGAUCGGUUUCGAGGUCGCCAACGCGGUUCUUUGGUUUGAUUCAAAUGUUGCUGUGUUUUGCGCAAAAAGUCCGUUUGGAGCACUUUGUUAAUAAAGUCAGGAAGUUUUCACAUUAUUAAAGGUCCAUUAUUUCUACCUUUCUUUACUAUUUUUAGUUGAAUAUUGUUUGUUGUUUGUCUCUAUUAAACCAUUUGAUUGCUUCAUGUGGUUAAAGAUUUUGAAAGAAUAUUAUAUUGUUUGUUCCCUAUUUCGUUCAUGAGAUUUAUAUGGUCAGUGAGUUUAGGCGUUUAAGAUAAAAGAUUAAAAUAGAAUUAAGUGCAAAUUUUGUGAAAUGGACAUCAUGAAGAAUUAGGCUUGGGCUUGUAUUAUGUUUAAUUCUUUUACAUCCUUUAUUUCUCUUUCUUUCUUGUUAUUAAUUAUUUGAGUUCAUAAUUGUCUCGAAUGCAUAGUUGUUUGUCUGUUUAUGUUGGUCAUAUGAUAUGAAGGGAUAUAAGGGGUUUCGAGUAAUUGGAUUAUUAUUGGGUCUAAAUAAUGGUGAUUGAGAGAUAUGGGUCGUGUUAUAUCCAAAGUCCAUUAAAUAAAAAAAGGCGUGGAAAUAACAAUUUUGUGAGGAAGUGAGGUGAGUCACGAAUUAAUUCAAAGACUCGUCGCAAAAGAGAAAGGAAAGAGUGAAAAAUAGAUAAAACAAAUGUCUCAAUUGCAAGAGGAAAAUAAUUAACAAUAUCUCUAGUAUACUCUAUGCGCGUAUUAACCAAUAAACCAUCGUGAUUGUGGGUACUGUUCCCGCGGCAUGGUUACGAUAUGCGAAUCUCAAUUCGGGGGUGCAUUUCAUGUAAUCCUAUUAUAACAACUUCGAAUAAUGAAAUCCUUUGAAAUUAGAAAUCGAGGCGUGCCAUUUAGCGAAUUUCCAUGGCCCUCGCGAAGUUGCAAGUGCGUAGUUGCUUUAGGCGCGCUAUUUAAAUUAAUUUCCUUAAACUCGGGUGUGCAUUUCAUGUGAACCAACUCCAAUUCUCAACAACGUUAAAUAAAAUGUGUCAUGGAUCGCGGGUGCAUUUCAUGUGGUGUGGUUCAAGGCGUGUUUUAAAUAACGUUGAAUCUUCCUAAAAGAAAAUUAAAAGUGGUUUAAUAAGUUAAAAUGUACCAUAGGCUAAAACAUAUAUUAAAUUCAGAUAACAAGCCAAUUAUAAUAGUUUAAGCAACCGUGCUAGAACCACGGAACUCGGAAAUGCCUAACACCUUCUCCCAGGUUAACAGAAUUUCUUACCCGGAUUUUUGGUGCGUGGACUAUUAAACAGAGUCAAUCUUUUCCUCAAUUCGGGAUUUGAACUGGUGACUUGGGACACCAUAAAAUUAUCUUAAGUGGCGACUCUGAAUUUAAUAAAUAAAUAAUCCCGUUUCGAUUGUCACUUAAAUUGGAAAAACUCCCUAUAUGCCCCUUUCGGGGUGUAGAAAAAAGGAGGUGUGACAGCUCUGGCGACUCUGCUGGGAAUCGAACCCAGAAUCUCUGGUUCAGGGUUCAAGAAUUCGAGCUUAGAAUAAUUGUUAUUGUUGGCUUUAUCCAUUAUCUGAAUUUGUUACAUGAUUUAGGCCUAAUGUGCUAAUUGAUUGAUUUACCGCUUUGAUAUUCCGUGAACUAUAUAUAAACUGUUGUGAAAUCCCUCUUCUCUCUGAGUCUUCUAAAUCAUGAAGAAGUGUGCACUUCAUGUGACUUCUUUUCUGUUAGCGUCAUAUCCUAAAUUUAGAACGAGGUUCGGACAAGUUGCAAAACCGGUGAAGCUUCUGUAUUUCCGGUACGCUGCCCCCCUCCUCGGCUCGAGCUGUCCGCUCGGGUAAGCCAGGUCUAGAACAAUAAACCCAGGUUUUGAACCUAGUACAAGACGACCUCAUGUCGGAUCCCUAGUAGGAAUGUUUGCUUGCAUCAUGUGCAUUUAACUUUGGAGACUCAACACAGAGGUUGAGUCUGUCUAGGACAGGUGUACCCAAAAUAACAGGCCAUCUUGAUGCAUCCUAUGUGCUACAUGUUGCAUUUCUUCAAGGGUAAAAGUGUCAUUUGGCGGACUAAUGAUAGUUGAGGGCAAAUGAAAAAAUUAAAAAAAAAGAGAGGGUGAAGUGUGAAUAGUGGGGCCCAAUUAUGUUUUUUGUCACAUUUUUUGUUAAGGGAAAAGAGCUUGAAAAUUCAAAAAAAAAAAGAUUUUGCGCUUUCUCAUUGUUUUUCGAAUAUCAAAAAAAAAGAAGAGGGAUUAGGAAAAUCCAAGAAAAAAAUGUUGCAUGUUUCAUCAUUUUCAAGGAAAGGACAAAAAAAAUAUAUUUUCUCUAAAUUAGUUGUUUUUGUUUUAAUUCUCGCCCGUAUCUGAUCUGCCCGAACUACGCAUACCUGAUUCUCGUCUUUCGGGGCAUGAUACGUAGGCAACCCAUAUAGGGUUCGGUCUUUCUAUUAAAUCUUAAGUUCUUGGCUUUGCGGGUCCUAGCCAAAUUUUGCACUUCUAGCCACCUUUUGGCCAAAUAAGUCAUUUUGCAAAAAUAGCCUAAAUUAUGUCUUGCGUGUGUCUAGUAGGGAAUGCUAUUGUCUCACAUAGUGUUGGUUUAUGUUUUCUUAUACAGGUGAGGAUUUACUUACCAGAGUUUGAGCAUGACAGAUACCCUAGGAUCACUGCAUUCAGGAGUUGCUCGAGGAGCCAUUUUAUAUUUUUGAGUCUAUUGUUCAUGUUUUACUUUCUAGUCUUGUAUAGUAGUAUUCAGUCAUUUAGUUAAUUGUCUUGAGUCUAUCAUAGUCUAGUUAAGUUUGUCAGUAUUUUGUUAUUAUUUCCCUUUUUGUAUUUGAAAAUGUAUUAUGAAUCAAAAUCCAAAAAAUAUAUUUUGC
rnacentral:lncRNA from 1 species